rnacentral:rRNA from 1 species
AUUGAACGCUGGCGGCAGGCCUAACACAUGCAAGUCGAGCGGUAGAGAGGUGCUUGCAUCUCUUGAGAGCGGCGGACGGGUGAGUAAUGCCUAGGAAUCUGCCUAGUGGUGGGGGAUAACGUUCGGAAACGGACGCUAAUACCGCAUACGUCCUACGGGAGAAAGCGGGGGAUCUUCGGACCUCGCGCCAUUAGAUGAGCCUAGGUCGGAUUAGCUAGUUGGUGAGGUAAUGGCUCACCAAGGCGACGAUCCGUAACUGGUCUGAGAGGAUGAUCAGUCACACUGGAACUGAGACACGGUCCAGACUCCUACGGGAGGCAGCAGUGGGGAAUAUUGGACAAUGGGCGAAAGACCUGAUCCAGCCAUGCCGCGUGUGUGAAG